AAUGCAGAGAUCAACAUGGAUGAAGCUC
rnacentral:sRNA from 1 species